rnacentral:rRNA from 1 species
UAAUACCCUAUAGGUUACAGAUGCUGGAAUGCUCUGUAAUCAAAAGUUCCGGCGCCCUAGGAUGGAUCUGCGGCCGAUUAGGUUGUUGUUGGGGUAAUGGCCCAACAAGCCAGUAAUCGGUACGGGUUGUGGGAGCAAGAGCCCGGAGUUGGAUUCUGAGACACGAAUCCAGGCCCUACGGGGCGCAGCAGGCGCGAAAACUUUACAAUGCGGGCAACCGUGAUAAGGGAACCUCGAGUGCCUGUAAAUGCAGGCUGUUCAGAUGCCUAAAACACAUCUGGAGAAAGGGCCGGGCAAGACCGGUGCCAGCCGCCGCGGUAAUACCGGCGGCUCGAGUGGUGGCCACUUUUAUUGGGCUUAAAGCGUUCGUAGCUGGGUUGUUAAGUCUCUUGGGAAAUCUGGCGGCUUAACCGUCAGGCGUCUAAGGGAUACUGGCAAUCUUGGAACCGGGAGAGGUGAGGGGUACUUCGGGGGCAGGAGUGAAAUCCUGUAAUCCUCGAGGGACCACCUGUGGCGAAGGCGCCUCACCAGAACGGCUUCGACAGUGAGGGACGAAAGCUGGGGGAGCAAACCGGAUUAGAUACCCGGGUAGUCCCAGCCGUAAACUAUGCGCGUUAGGUGUAU